rnacentral:lncRNA from 1 species
CUGUAAUCCAGGCCAUGGAGACACAUGAAAGGGAACUGAAAAGAGCUGAGAGCCCCUCUGUGCUGGCCAUGGGGAGGCCUUCCUGGAGGAAGGGAAUGUCAAGAAACCAACUCUGCUGACGCCUUGAUCUCGGACUUCCAGCCUCCAGGACUCUGAGACAAUCACUUUCUGUUGUAUCACUUAGGAGACCUGGCAGAAAAAUUGCAAGAAGGCAGCCCUCUGCAAGCCAGGACGAGAGCCCUCUCCAGGAACUGAAUCCACCAGCAGCUUGAUCUUGGACUUCCUAACCUCUUAAACUGGGAGAAGAUAAAUUUUUGUUGUUUAAGCCACCCAGUCUUUGGCAUUUUGUUAUAGUAGCAUGAGCGGACUAAUACAUUGCACAGUAAAUCUAAUAAUUUCUCAUUGAUAGCUAUAUUCAACAAAAGUUAAUCUACCUCUGAAGAAAAAUUUUUAAAGGUUGCUAGUUGCUGGCGAAAGGAAAAUUGCAGUUCUGACCUCCAGAGGAACUGGAAACUGAAGCCAUUAAUCUGACCUCGUGGAGGGGAUGGAGACAAAACCAGCCAUAUGGACAGUAUGUGAUUGAGCCCCAAUAAAAACUCUGAACGCCAAAGGCUCAGGUGAGAUUCCCUGGUUGACAAUACUCCAGCCACACAUUGUGGCCAGGAGGUGACACCAUCUAUGACUCCAUGGGGAGACAACAACCAGAAGCAGCCCUGCGUUUGGACUUCUCCCAGACUCAGCCCUACGAGUCUCUUCCCUCUG